AUACGUAGGGAGCGAGCGUUGUCCGGAAUUACUGGGCGUAAAGGGCGCGUAGGCGGCGCUUCAAGUCGUCUGUCAAAUGGGAGGGCUUAAACCUUUUUCGCAGACGAAACUGGAGAGCUUGAGAAGCAGAGAGGCAAAAAGAAUUCCUGGUGUAGCGGGGAAAUGCGUAGAUAUCAGGAGGAAUACCAGUGGCGAAGGCGGUUUGCUGGCUGCAUACUGACGCUGAAGCGCGAAAGCCAGGGGAGCAAACGGGAUUAGAUACCCCGGUAGUCCUGGCAGUAAACGAUGUAUGCUGGGUGUGAGACUAGCGAUAGUUUCGUGCCGAAGUUAACGCGAUAAGCAUACCGCCUGGGGAGUACGGUCGCAAGAUUGAAACUUAAAGGAAUUGACGGGG
rnacentral:rRNA from 1 species